GAGUGGUGUUUGGUUUGUCACGUGUGGUUGGCUGCGGCGUUUGCAACAACUUCCAUGCUUUCAGACCUCUUCAGUUGUGCGGCAAGGCUUGUAUCGCCUUGCCGUAAUGCGGGUUUUCUGUGUUGUAUACCUAAUCAAUGGUAUCGGUUGGAUUGAUCAAUGUUUCAUUUCGUCUGUCGUCGCAUUCGCGGCGUGAGACGAACCUCGAUGCGGUCUCUUUGGCCCACCUCGUCGAAGCACAUGCUUUGACGUUGUGGCACAUUGAGCAUUGCUUGGUCUCUUGUAUACGGAACAUAUAGUGGGCAUGGAUCUAACGAUUCUUGUUUGCCCUCAUGUUAGCGUAACGCUUCUCUUACACGACUUGCUCCACGUUUUAGCUCGUAC
rnacentral:misc_RNA from 1 species